rnacentral:misc_RNA from 1 species
CAAGUAGCACAGUCAAAUGUCAAAUAGUUACGCUGGUUGCUGGUUAUAGUCGAAUAUAAAAUUAUUCUUUUUUAAUUUUUAAGUGUUUUGAUGAAAAUAACUUUAUAAAUUUCUGCAUUUUGUUAUAAUCUCUUGACUUUGUAUAAACGACUGAUUUCAUAAAGAACUUCUUAAAUGACCAUUUAAUUUAUUGAGGGUUAGACAUUGUUGGCGACAUUCAAAAAGUUUUGAAAUUUGCUGCAAUUACGAUAUUAAUUUUGAUGUGAGGAUUUAGUAGAUGGCAAAAAGUCUUGUAUAAGAAUUUCUCGAGAAUUGAAACCUGUCUUAAAUCUGGUGAAGAGCGUUGAGGAUAAAAAACAAAUACCGUUAAAAUGGAAUUUUGGCGAAAGAGAAAUGGGUUGAAAGGAAAUUUAGUACAUCCUGAUCGACAAAACAAGAAACUAUCUGCUACAGCUCAGCGAAGGAUGUUAAUUGAGGAAAUGUUAGCUGCUAAUGGCUCUUUAUUUUCAGAAACUGAUAAGAAAAUACUGACGUCUCUUGUAGGUGAUCAAAAUCAACCUAAAGAAUGGGUCAAUCCAAUGUUUAAAAAUACCGUUUAUUCUGAUAACGAAUCUCGCGAAGUACAUGGGGAUCUGCCAUGUAAUUUUAAUGAAGAUCGGAACGCAAGAUGGGACCAAUGGGAUGAAUCUGGGGCCGAAAAGCCUAAAACAUCUUUCUUGUCCUCAUUCUCGGACCAGGAUCCACCUGAAAAUCGAAAUCAAAGAAAUCAAUUUCGUGGCGAAACCCAAGGCGUAAAUCUGUUUAACCCUCAAAGAAGUUCUUUUAUACAAGAAAGGAGCCCUGGCCAGGAUCCACCUGAAAAUCGAAAUCAAAGAAAUCAAUUUCGUGGCGAAACCCAAGGCGUAAAUCUGUUUAACCCUCAAAGAAGUUCUUUUAUACAAGAAAGGAGCCCUGGCCAGGAUCCACCUGAAAAUCGAAAUCAAAGAAAUCAAUUUCGUGGCGAAACCCAAGGCGUAAAUCUGUUUAACCUUCAAAGAAGUUCUUUUAUACAAGAAAGGAACCCUCUUAACAGUGAAAGAAGUUCUUUAGACAACAACCUCUCUGAUGCACAAAGGCGAAGGAUGGUAAUUGAGGAAAUAUUAGCUGCUAAUAGCUCUUCAUUCUCAGAAGCUCACAAGAAAACACUGAACUCGCAUUUUAGUGUUGAAGAUUGUGUAAGAGGUCCUUUUAAAAAUACUGCCUAUUCUGAUAAAGAAUCUCGCGGAGUAUGUGGAGACUUGCCAUAUAAUUUUGAUGAAGAAAGAAGAAACCAAGAAGAUCGGAACGCAAAGAACGUUUCUGGGACAUCUUUCUGGUCUAAUAAUCGAAAUGAAAGAAAUGAAUUUCUUCCCGAAACCCGAGACGUAAGUCCGUUUAACCCUCAAAGAGGUCCUUUAAUACCAGAAAGGAGUCCUCUAAAUCCUGAAAGAAGUUCCCUAGAGCAAUAUGGAAGCUCGAAUAACCAACAAGCAAAAAGUGUUUCUGGGUCAUCUUUCUGGUCUAAAAGUCGAUUUGAAAGAAAUGAAUUUCGCCCCGAAACCCGGGACAUAAGUCCGGUUAACCCUCAAAGAAAUCCUAUAAUACCAGAAAGGAGUACUCUAAACUUUAAAAGAGGUUCUCUAGAGCAAUAUGGAAGCCCGAAUAACCAAGAAGCAAAAAACGUUUCUGGGUCAUCUUUCUGGUCCGAAAAUCGAUUUGAAAAAAAUCAACUUAGUCCCAAAACCCGAGACGUAAGUCCGAAAGUUAACCCUCAAAGAAGUCUUUUCAUACCAGAAACGAAUCCUCUAAACCGUGAAAGAAGUUCUCUGGAGCAAUAUGGAAGUUCCAAUAACCAACAGCAAAGAAAUCAAUUUCGUUUCGAAACCAGAGAAGUAAGUUUGCUUAACCCUCGAAGAAGUCCUUUUAUACGAGAAAGGAAUCCUCUAAACAGUGAAAGAAAUUCUUUAGAGCAAUAUGGGAGCUCGAGUAACCAACAAGAUACCAGACACAUAUCAGUGGACAGGAGGACUCUCCUGGAUGAGAUAAUAGAUUUUGAAGCACCACAAGAUAAUUCUGGUAACGGUAUUGCACCUUUAAUGACCCAAAGCACACAAGAUGAUUCUGGUAACAAUAUUGAGAUACUAGAUUUUAAACCACCACAAGAUAAUUCUGGUAACGGUAUUGCACCUUCAAAGGUUUACAAUUAUGGACCAAUUCCGAAGGGUUGCGUUCGAGUAAAAAUGUGGAUUGAUAAGAGUAUAUCCUUCUCAGAUCCAUUGCAUAUUCUGAGGCAACUGUCACAGCAAAAUUCAUGUCUGAGGACGAAAAGUUGGACGGUUUUAGAUGUUAAGAACAAUCCAAAGACGGGCUUUAUAUUCCUGGUACAGUUAAGACAGGAGCAUCUCACUGUUUUACGGAGCUUCAACAUGGCACCCUGUAUUCAGAAGAAAAAAACUUUAUUUAAAGUUCUACAACCUGGAGAGGAAUUAAACUAUUUUUAGAGGAAUUGGUACUUAUCGGACGGCCCUAUGGUUUGUUUUUAAACCAAGAGGAGUAAACUAAAAAGAUAGAUUCACACCCAAAAAGUUACUAGAAAAAUCACCAAAUACAUCUUUUUUAUCAUAUCGGCAUUCGAAGAUGUCCAACUUCUUCAAAUAGAUGUCUCGACUUCAAGAUAAAAUAAUGAUUUUUCUUUAUAAGAAUUUUAUUGUACGAACUGUAGAAUAGUAGUGUACUGAUUUCACAUUAUACAUAGGUGUGUUUAAUUUUUUUUAUAAGAAUCUUAUUGUAGGAACUGCAGAAUAGUAGUGUAUUGAUUUCACAUUAUAUGUAUGUUUAAAUAAAGAGGUAAUAGUCAGAA